CCCGUCCCGCCUUUCACUCAUCUCUGUCCGCCCAAACAGCCUCCCACACGUCUAUCUGAUGCACACGCCGCCCUGACCUGGUUGGUAUCAGCAGAAGGUCGCUCUCCUCGCAGGAAUAAGCACGCAAGUCCUGUCAAAGAAUCAGAGGCUCCGGAUGAAAUAUCACGUUGCAGAACUCAUGCGUUUGAAUCAGAGAAAUGCACAAAUGGAGAGAACGGUGAGUGAAUAUCUGAAAUAUCAGUGCACGAGGGGAGUGGGAGUCCUGCUUAGCGUGUCGAAGCACACGGUUUGUUCAUACAAAAGAGCCCUUUGUUUGAAAUAGGGGGAUGAGUAUGUGCGUGGAGCGCACAUGUAUGUGCGCGACAGCUGCUACUGGUCUAAUGUUACGUUGGCUUCAUAACACACUUACAACACGGGCAUGUCAUGGGCAGUUCAAAGUAGACACACACACACACACACACAUCUGUUUUAUAAUACGUGCUAAAUGUAGAAUAUCCAUAUUGUAGCUUUGUACAAUACAGUGAGUAGACAAUUUAAAUGAAUAGUGCUGAAUAAAUGUAUUAUAAAAUAACUAAUUGCAAGGUACAGUAUAAUAACAAAUUAUUUAUUUUAUGACCUUUAUAGAUCCUGACGGUACAAUAUGUAGUUCAAGGACAACCUCCAUUAAAAAAUGACUAACUUAAUUUAUGGUAAAUCACAUUUCCACACUGGUAAUCUGGGACCAUGUAAUAUUCCAGUAAAGUAACACAUUGCAAAGACAGUGGAAAAUCAAACGGAGGGUGAAUAAUGUUCAGCAGCUCAUUUAACCUUUGACCUGCACAAAGAACACUAUGUUUUCACACUAACGUCAAAAAAAGUGUAUACAAACCUGAGUGACCAGAAGGAGCCGGACGUGGCAGUGAAAGCGUUAAGCGCCGCAGAAUGGGAGGCUCCACGCCCCGCCCACCGCCCCCUCAUUUGCAUAUCGAGCGGGAAGCCCCGGCUCUUUGUUGCUACUGCGCCCAGCCGGAGCCCCUCCCACAAAACGCCGCACUGGCGGGAAAAUGCUCCAGAGCUUUAGCCCACUGACAACGGGCACGCGCGUCUCCCACAUUAUGCACCGCGGAGUGCGCGUUGCUCUUCACACGCAGAUGGAAUCAAAUGCGCGGGCACGCGCACACGCACACACACACACUUGUAUUGUUUGUCAUGUAUCGGCUGCCACACCCAUUUCUCGCCUAAGUGGACACACAGAUAGAUUAAAGAGGAAAUGGACUGAGGAUUGAUUUUGAUAUGAAGUUGAUGACACACACACACACACACACACACACACACACACACACACACACACACACACACACACACACACACACACACAGUGUGAGAGGAGUGAGACACAUUAUCAUGGCCCACUAGACACAAUACAUCAAUGGUAAGCGGCUUUAAAUAAAAUAAGCAAAUUACUUACAAAAGGUGACAAUGCUGUAUGUGUGUGUGUGUGUGUGUGUGCGCGUGCUUGUGUUGGGAAAAGGGUUCAUUGGGUUGUUGGAAAAACAGGAAGGCGUGUUAUGCUCUGGACUGGGAAGGGUAGACGACGAAGGGAAAAAACUACCGAGCGCCCCCCGCAUUACAUAACCCGGCAGGAAAUGUGUGUGGAGGGUGGACUUUGGGGGGGGGGGGGGGUGUAGGCACACUGCACCUAUGACACUUUCCUUGAAGGCUAUUCACAUCUAAUCACGUCUCUUCCUCUCCACGUCCUUCUGUCACGUCUCCUUGUAAACAG
ensembl:lncRNA